CGGGCUGCACCCACACCCUUCUUUCAACUUAAAGAGACUCUGAAGGAGGUGGAGCAAACGUGUGUCUGGAGCUCCGCUUGGGCUGGGAUAUGAACUGGGAGACGUCUGAGAGGGCAACAUGUGUUACGCUGCCUGCGUUGUGUGUUGUGUUGCGUGAGUGUGCGUCUGACUGAGUGCAUAUGUGUGCAUGCAUUGUACGCCGCGGGUGUUUGGACCGACUUAGAGGCGCCGUACUGUAAAACUUUCUGACCUGUUGAUUUAUCUUCACUAAAAAGGGCCCGUGAAAGAUCUGUCGGUGUGAGUAUGAGAGCUAUUUAUAUCUUUUGAAUACACUGAAGAGAUAGGUUCUGGCUAAGUUAAUGACGUUUUCUCCAUGCCCAAGGUUGUUGGACUGAUUACCACAUGGUUGGCCUGUACAGUGUGUUGUUAGCAACAAGCUGCUGUGGAGUGUUAAUGGACGUGAUAUUUGUGGAUAUGCAGACUGACUUUUGAUUAUGAUAUGAUGUUUGUUUAAUGUUUCUCAGGGAAACUUUCUGUGAUAUUGAAAUUUGCAAUGAGUUGGGUCACAUUCGUUAUGGGAAAAUAUAUUAUACUCAAAGACAUAAAAACGCAACAUAUAACUUUUAUUUAUAUUAUUCAUGAAGACGUGGUAUCAGGAUUAAAUGUACUUUAAGAAUUAAAAAUUUCACGUUCAUUCGAAAGCAAUGUAGGAUACGUUGAAGUUCCUGCGCCAUAGUGCGCCUGUAUCUUGACCCGAUGAGUCGGUCAGAGACUUGUGUAACUUAAGUACAAUCCUUUCGCAACUGUGUAAUGUAUUCCAUGUAGAACUUAGGCUUUGGGUUAUUUAAACGCUUACCAGCCUAAGCUGUGGCCAACGGUCGAUGGCAGGCUGCGCUGUUGUUCAUCGUAACGCAAACAAGAGAUUGAAUAUGAAAACCAUUUCUCUUUGGAGGUUCGGACCGGUUUUCGAUGAGGACUUACGGUUGAGAAAGGACCGCAGGAAUGAACCACGGCAGGCAAGACGGUGUGGAGGAGGAGAGCGAGCGCAUGGGGCCGGGUGGGUGGAGCCCGCGCCAUGCAGGAAGGAAACACAGGAAACGUUCUAGCAGGAAAACAAUGUAAUCAUGAACCCUGGGCUCAUUUACUGUCUGGUUGGUAAUAUAGGCAGCAUGUGUGUGUGUGUGUGUGUGUGUGUGUGUGUGUGUGUGUGUGUGUGUGUGUGUGUGUGUGUGUGUGUGUGUGUGUGUGCGUGUGCGUGUCAGAACCAAACCAUACGUUAACGGGCUGCAGAUUUCAUAAUUAAAUCAAUGAAUUGCUUGAGAACAAAAUACAUUCGAGAAAAGUAUAUUGUUUGUAAAAGACAAGGGACUUUCUCUGGCGAACUUCAAGCGGCUGAAUGGGGGACAGCCUCUAGCAAACUUCAACCAGCUCAGCCCCCCUGCGGCUCCAGACAGAGGAGUGAUUCCCCUUGGCGGACUGGCAGUGGUGCCGUCGUUUGGGCUCAACCUCCUGUGCCUACUGAGCUGAUAACAGUUAGAUGUCAAAACAAGCACUGGCUCAGUUCAGCAGGAACCGGAGUUACGCCUUCAAUAAACAGCGAGGACAUAUCCGUCCCCACGCACGAUUAUGCACUUGUAUUAAAUGUUGCAGUAAACUUUUUUAGUAAAUGUUUCUCUCUGUAUGUGUUAGACUAAACUGUGUUGUUUUAGGUGCCAUGGUUUUUGUUAUUUUAUUUAAAACAUAAAUGUUCAUACUUCCUCUAUGAAUCAUAGGGAGAUUGCAAUCAGUGAGUACAGAGAGCUUUGAUGUUGUCCCACACCCACACCCACACCCACACACACACACACACACACACACACACACACACACACACACACACACACACACACACACACAUCCUGAAACCAACCUGUUGGCCAUCGAUUCUCAAGGCCUCGUGAUGGAGGAAAUUUGCUCCUGUUGGUUGUGUGUUUACUCAAAGAUCACAGGAGCAGAGAUUUUUCCAGAUGCACUUCCCCGAUAGCACAUCAGAUCGCCCUCUGUGGGAGCACAUAAUAAAGCAAGGAAGAAGUGAACCUUCUGACUUUGAGAGCAUUAGGGCUUUUUAAUGCCAGUGUAAUAUUUGUAAAGACGGCCUGAGUCUGUUUUUUUCAGUUAUGUAAGUAACUGCUCCUUUAAAUGUGCAACUCUGACUCUCAGCUUUUAAGAAAAUACCAUAACUAACACCGAACUAACGUUACACAUCAUUUUUUUAAUAAUGUCCAUACAGUCAACAGUUUGUCUCUUUAUAUUAAAGAUAUUGAUGAAGUGUAACGUUGAUUCAGUAAUCAUUUUGUAUUAAGCGAACAAAUGGGGACUGGGAACGAAUUUCCCCAUCGCGUCAUGUUAUUUACCAUACAUGAAUGCCAAGUCUUAUGCCCCACAACUGUACAGCGAAAAUACAGUUUCUAUGUGAAACCAAACACAUUUCAUAUUUCGGUGUAUAUCUUACCUUGGACAAAUAAAGACAAUGUUCUAC
ensembl:lncRNA